GGGGGUAUGGCGAAAUCGGUAGACGCUACGGACUUAAUUGAAUUGAGCCUUGGUAUGGAAACCCACUAAGUGAUAACUUUCAAAUUCAGAGAAACCUGGAAUUAAUAAAAAGGGGCAAUCCUGACCAAAUCCUGUUUUCCGAAACCAAAGGUUCAGAAAGUGAAAAAGGGAUAGGUGCAGAGACUCAAUGGAAGCUGUUCUAACAAAUGGAGUUGGCUGCGUUAGUAGAGAAAUCUUUCCAUCGAAAAUUCCGAAAGGAUAAAACGUAUACGUAUUGAAUACUAUAUCAAAUGAUUAAUGACGACUCGACUGAAUCUGUAUUUUUUAUAUGAAAAUGGAAGAAUUGGUGUGAAUAGAUUCCACAUUGAAGAAAGAAUCGAAUAUUCAUUGAUUAAAUGAUUCACUCCAUAGUCUGAUAGAUCUUUUCAAGAAUUGAUUAAUCGGACGAGAAUAAAGAUAGAGUCCCGUUCUACAUGUCAAUGUCGGCAACAAUGAAAUUUAUAGUAAGAGGAAAAUCCGUCGACUUUAAAAAUCGUGAGGGUUCAAGUCCCUCUAUCCCCAA
rnacentral:ncRNA from 1 species